rnacentral:rRNA from 1 species
AUUCCAGCUCCAAUAGCGUAUAUUAAAGUUGUUGCGGUUAAAAAGCUCGUAGUUGGAUUUCAGCAAUUGAAGAGGUCCCAUUGAGGAAUCUCGGAUAUUGUUCUUUAGAUGAAUUACAUGGAUUGAUUUCUUUUGUAAUUUACUAAAACUGUUACUUUGAGGAAAUUAGAGUGUUUAAAGCAGAUGUUUGUCAUGAAUAUAUUAGCAUGGAAUAACAAUAAAGAUUAUAGUUUGUAUUUGUUGGUUUGAUUACUAGAAUAAUGAUAAAUAGGGACAGUCGGGGGCAUUUGAAUUUAACAGUCAGAGGUGGAAUUCUUGGAUUUGUUAAGGUCAAACUACUGCGAAAGCAUUUGCCAAGGAUGUUUUCAUUA